rnacentral:rRNA from 1 species
GAUGAACGCUGGCGGCGUGCCUAAUACAUGCAAGUCGAGCGAACAGAUGAGGAGCUUGCUCCUCUGACGUUAGCGGCGGACGGGUGAGUAACACGUGGAUAACCUACCUAUAAGACUGGGAUAACUUCGGGAAACCGGAGCUAAUACCGGAUAAUAUAUUGAACCGCAUGGUUCAAUAGUGAAAGACGGUUUUGCUGUCACUUAUAGAUGGAUCCGCGCCGCAUUAGCUAGUUGGUAAGGUAACGGCUUACCAAGGCAACGAUGCGUAGCCGACCUGAGAGGGUGAUCGGCCACACUGGAACUGAGAAACGGUCCAGACUCCUAAGGGAGGCAGCAGUAGGGAAUCUUUCGCAAAGGGCGAAAGCCUGAAGGAGCAAAGCCGCGUGAGUGAUGAAGGUCUUCGGAUCGUAAAACUCUGUUAUUAGGGAAGAACAAAUGUGUAAGUAACUAUGCACGUCUUGACGGUACCUAAUCAGAAAGCCACGGCUAACUACGUG